GCAGUGACCGUGGAGCACGGUGCAGUGGGGGGGGGAGGGGGGUCUAAUUCUAAUCCUUUGGAUAAUGAGCAUUUAACGUUGAAAGUGGAUUUUAAGUGGUUUGUAGGAACUUUUACCUGAGGAUGUCUUUCCUCUUCAGCAGGCCCUUGUUGGCGGAGCUACAAUCCUUCAGCUCCACCCUCAGCCGCUGGCACUCAUUCUGCAUCUGCUCUAACUCCUGAAGAUGAAGAUUAAAGCUGAGUUCUCUGUAGUGACCAGCAGGGGGCGACUCCUCUGCUCCCAUAGACGUCUAUGAGUUCUCUUAUUCCCUCAGUAAACAUUGUAAACAUGAGUUCAUGGUCUCAGUUUCAAGUCUUUUUCAAUACAGCUUGAUGUUCAUUUAGUCUGAUGUUUAAUAGAUCCUCCUACCUUCCUGCAGGAGCGGAGCUCCGCCUGUUCCCUCCUCACGGCCGUCUUCUGGCGGUCCCUCUCGGUGCAGCGAUCCCUCUCCUGGUCUCGCAGGACGUCUCUCUCCUCCAGCAGGGACACCUUUUCCUCCUGCAGGAAGGAGAGCUUCUCCAGCUGCUUGUUGUGAGCCGCUCUCUCCGACUCGAGGAUCCUUGAGAUCUUCACCUCAGCUAAUCUCUCGAUGUCUUUCUCUCUGUCCGCGAUCUUCCUGUUUGAGGGACGAGGGUGAGGAAGGGGAUCGACCUCAGAGCCCCGCGGAUCAACUCAAAGCUGGACUCACUGACCUUCUCCUCUCCGGCUCUGCCUCGCGCUUCCAGCAGUCGAUGGCCGCUUCAAGCGUUUUGUUGUGACCGACCAGCAGCUCCAUCUCGGUCUCCCGGUCGGACCGGUGUUGCACCAUCUCCUGCACCAGCUCCUGCUGCUGGCGGGAUUUAAUCGCUGAGCGGAAGAGAAAGGAAACUAGGAGUAGUGGCGAUCCGGCAGGAAGGAGAGAAGCAGCCAGACGAGGGAUCGGAACGACGGCUGCAAAAUAAAGUUAUUACGAACCGAUCUGUUCUGUACAUCCUCAUUCCGGGACCCCCAAAGAUCAACACCGUACGUUCGUUACGGAGCAACAUGGUCGCACAAACACACGUUACAGGUGGAGGCUUUUGAUACAACUGCUCAGUGCAGGUGAAGGACAUGACAGAGCAGGUGGAGGAAAACCAGGAGGACACGAGAGAAGAACUGGACAUGAAAAUGAAGAGGACACAAAGAGAAAUGAAAAGUGGAGGUCCAGUUGGGAAUGGCUGGUUGGUAAUAAAGAAAAUAAUGUAUUGCACUGAUUGUAGGACAUACGGGAGUGAAAAGGUUAAGUGGGUUUGUUUUGUAGUCGAGACAAGCAACACAGUGGAAACAAUAAAGGACUAUGACGUUUCCGUUUCGCCAUGUCAAAAAGGAUUGCGACUAAACCGACAAAGACAAGUGUUGCGUUUAGGUCCCUGGUCCUCAUGAAGUCGGUGGAGCUUUGCACCCCUGCACCAGUUACAUGCAAAGAGCUACUCUUUUUGUCUUUGAUGUGUUUUCAUGCAAAAGGAGCUUUACACACUCAUAAAAGCUGAAGAUUUGGUGACUGUACAUAUACAUUUUAUGUAGUCUUGAUUUGCAUGUUUACACUUCAAAAGGAUUGAUAGUUCAAGUAAAUUGUAGCAAACUGAAGUCAACUUUAAUCCAUUAAUGCAGAUAAUAAAGAAUUUAAGUAAGGUAAUUGGUUUGGCCGCAGACCUCAGAUGUUUUCAUGUUUGAGCAGUCACGUCACGUUUUUGUAUUCUUCUUGUUCGUGAAAUUUGUUAAAUUGUCGUGCAUAUAAAUGCUUUGCUACUUGUUAAAAGCCCAAUGAUUUUUACAUGUAAUUUCUAUUACAUUACAUUACAGGUCAUUUAGCAGACGCUUUUAUCCAAAGCGACUUACAUUACACUUUAAACCCAAGGCUUUUUCACAUUUUUUUUGCCUGGGGAGCAAUUAGGGGUUAGGUGUCUUGCUCAGGGACACUUCGACAGAUCAUAUGAACACUCCAUCCAUCUGUUCCUGGCCUGGCUCCUCUGUCAAAUUUUAGAACCCAUUGUGGGCCGCGGGUCAAAAGUUUUGCCCACCUGCUGCAGACAUUCCCAGAAAAUAACUCUUUUUCAAAUGUGUUUAUUUCAUAUAAAAAUAAUAAAAAAAUAUGAAAAAAACAAUUUAAUUUAAAAAAAUGAAAUUAGGGCUGCAACAACAAAUCGAUGAAAUAGAUUAAAUUUGAUUAUUAAAGGCGUUGACAAUGAAUUUAAUUAUCGAUUUGUUGUGUCGCGCAAUUAUUAUGUCACUCAAUGAGUUGCGGAGAUGCGCGCGGAGCAAAAAUAAACAUACAUGUAUAUAUGUAUUUUGUGCUUGUCCCAUAUCGGUUAUUGUUGACAAAUAUAUAUGUGUGUGUCGUAAUUGUUAAUGCUGUCAUGUACGGUAGUCUAGUGCGCACAUACUGUGGUUUAUACGGUAGUUGAUGUCAUGCCUGUAAAGGGAGACACAUUAAAUCAACUAAGAAGCCUCUAAUGCAUUACAUCUACACAUUUUUAAUUCAUCUCAUAGCACUUGGUUGUGUUUUAGCUGUAUACAUUUACUUAACUUGCACUACAAUGAUGGUAAUCAUUUAAUGAAUAAGCUUCAAAUGAACAUGGGGGGGUGUUGGUGAGUGUGAGAGUUUGUGUGUGUAGUAUAGAGAACAAGUUCUGACGUUAAAACAAAUCCUGUUAAAAGUUUCUGAUUUGUAUUUUUCUUUUUUAUAAAUUAUUAUGUUCAAGGAGCAACCGGUACUUUCUGAUGUAUUUUUGCAAUGUGAAUUUGCAGUUCUGUUUUAGAAUAAAGGGUUAAAGCUUUUUAAUGCGAUUUUCUGAUUCAUCGAUUAAUUGAAGAAAUAAUAGUUAGUCGCUGCCCUAAAUGAAAUAUUUCUAUCUUUUAAGUACUGACAGUUUGUGGUAUCUUAAUU
ensembl:lncRNA